rnacentral:rRNA from 1 species
UACGUAGGGCGCAAGCGUUGUCCGGAAUUAUUGGGCGUAAAGAGCUCGUAGGCGGCUUGUCACGUCGGGUGUGAAAGCCCGGGGCUUAACCCCGGGUCUGCAUUCGAUACGGGCAGGCUAGAGUGUGGUAGGGGAGAUCGGAAUUCCUGGUGUAGCGGUGAAAUGCGCAGAUAUCAGGAGGAACACCGGCGGCGAAGGCGGGUCUCUGGGCCGUAACUGACGCUGAGGAGCGAAAGUGUGGGGAGCGAACAGG